AUUGAACGCUGGCGGCAGGCCUAACACAUGCAAGUCGAGCGGAGGAAGGGUGCUUGCUCCUGGAUUCAGCGGCGGACGGGUGAGUCUUGCCUAGGAAUCUGCCUGCUAGUGGGGGAUAACGUCCGGAAACGGGCGCUAAUACCGCAUACGUCCUGAGGGCGAUAGUGGGGGAUCUUCGGACCUCUCGCUAGCAGAUGAGCCUAGGUCGGAUUAGCUAGCUGGUGGGGUAAAGGCCUACCAAGGCGACGAUCCGUACCUGGUCUGAGAGGAUGAUAAGCCACCCUGGAACUGAGACAGGGUCCGGAGGACUGCGGAAGGCAGCAGUGGGGAAUAUGGGACAAUGGGCGGAAGCAUUAUCCAGCCAUGCGGCGUGUGUGGAAAAGGUCUUCGGAUUGGAAAGCACUUUAAAUUGGGGGAAAGGGCAGUAAAUUGAUACCUUGCUGUAUUGACGUUACCGGCAGAAUAAGCACCGGCUAACUUCGUG
rnacentral:rRNA from 1 species